rnacentral:snRNA from 8 species
AGCUUUGCGCAGUGGCAGUAUCGUAGCCAAUGAGGUUUAUCCGAGGCGCGAUUAUUGCUAAUUGAAAAAUAAUGUUAUUUGAGUGGCAGGAAUGUAAGAGAUGAAUGUAGCUAAGUGAUUGGUUGACCAAUAGUCGUAUUUACUCACCUGCUAGGCACUUACUUAUAUUAACUCCAUUAAUCUUCACAAUAUUCCUAUGAAG